GAUGAACGCUGGCGGCGUGCCUAAUACAUGCAAGUCGAGCGAACAGACGAGGAGCUUGCUCCUCUGACGUUAGCGGCGGACGGGUGAGUAACACGUGGAUAACCUACCUAUAAGACUGGGAUAACUUCGGGAAACCGGAGCUAAUACCGGAUAAUAUAUUGAACCGCAUGGUUCAAUAGUGAAAGACGGUUUUGCUGUCACUUAUAGAUGGAUCCGCGCCGCAUUAGCUAGUUGGUAAGGUAACGGCUUACCAAGGCGACGAUGCGUAGCCGACCUGGGAGGGUGAACGGCCACACUGGAACUGAGAGACGGUCCAGACUCCUACGGGAGGCAGCAGUAGGGAAUCUUCCGCAAUGGGCGAAAGCCUGACGGAGCAACGCCGCGUGAGUGAUGAAGGUCUUCGGAUCGUAAAACUCUGUUAUUAGGGAAGAACAAAUGUGUAAGUAACUAUGCACGUCUUGACGGUACCUAAUAAGAAAGCCACGGCUAACUACGUG
rnacentral:rRNA from 1 species